GAUUGCUAGUCGGGAAAAUCAUUUAGUUGAGAUUCAUUUAGAGAGGGUUCAAGUGAGUGACAUUGGACUCGGGGCAAUAUCCAAGUUUUCGGACUUGGAGAUACUUCAUUUGGUAAAAGCUCCUGAAUGUACAGAUGCUGGAGUUGUUGAUGUGGCUAGACGUUGUAAGUUAUUGAGGAAGGUUCACAUUGAUGGAUGGAGGACAAAUCGAAUAGGUGACGUGGGAUUGAGUGCUAUCGGUGAGAAUAGUAUAAACCUCAAGGAAUUGGUAAUAAUGGGUUUGAAUCCCACGGUGACUAGUUUAUUGGCCAUUGCUUCUAAUUGUCAAAAGUUAGAAAGAUUAGCACUUUGUGGUAGUGAGAGUAUUGGGGAUGCUGAAGUAACUUGUAUUGCUACAAAAUGUAUGGCUUUGAAGAAGCUUUGUAUAAAGGGAUGUGAGGUAACAGAUGAAGGUAUUGUGUCUUUCGCGUGGGGAUGUCCUAAUUUGGUGAAAAUUAAGGUUAAGAAGUGCAAGAACGUAACUGGUGAAGUUGCAGAUUUGUUGAGAGCAAGGAGGGGAUCUUUGACGGUGAAUCUUGAUGUUGGGGAAGUUGAUGUGGAGGUUGUGGAUGGU
rnacentral:misc_RNA from 1 species